rnacentral:rRNA from 1 species
CAGAUGCUAUUCAGUACAACCUUGAUGUGCACCUUGACUUACAUGGAUAAUCUUGUACGUAAUUCCCUCUUUUAUUGAUGUGUGGUUUCAUCUGUGUGAUUAAUUCCAUCUCUUUUUACUUUUUCAUGUUAGGUACUACAUGUACUUUUUGUGAUUUCAAGGGUAAAUUACUAGCCAAUUUUGGUACUAGCCAAAUCAAAGAUUUAUGUCCUAAAAAAGAUUUGCUCAGCUUCAUGCAAUUGAAUUGUUAUCGCAUAUUUACGAGCAAGCUCAUAUUUAUAUCUCCAUGAUCUCUUAACAGCGAGAAAAGGAAAGAUAACGUGAACAUCCAGUGAGCACUACUGAUGCCAUCAUGGAAAACUCACUGCUCUUGUUUAAUUUUGUUUAUGUAGUCAACAUUUUGAUCAAAGGAUUCUCACGUGUUAGAAAACUGUACUCACAUAAAUCUGAGUAUUGGUCUAUGGAACUGGAGGUAGUGAGUUUCAGUUCUUAUGAAUUAAUGUUUCUUUAUUUAUUUAGAGCUUCUAUUCAGAUCAUUGACGUUUGCAUAUCCCUGUUUGUAGUAUCAUUUUGUGUCUCAUGUUAUGACUGACAUUUUUUUUCUCUACAACCUGUAAAUUUCGGAUUCAGUUUACUGAUCUCUGAAAGUCAUGUAUAACUUGGCAGAAAUGUUAUCCCUACAAAUUAGAACACCCUUAUUCUUGCUAGGUGGAUUACUACUUCCUUGGAUGUUUUCAUAAAAUAAGUGAAAUGUGCAGACCGACAACAUGGACGGCAGGUCUUGCGGCUCUCAGCGCCCUCAACCCCCCACUGACCUCAAUUUUGAUCUCUCCUCUACUCUUCUGGUGAGUGGGAGCAGCAUGUGGAUAUAUUGAACUAUAUAUUAGCUUUUGAUUGGUUCCCAUGAAGUACUUUGGAAUUCAUUAUAUAGUUGUGUCAGUGAAGAUGUCGUAGAUUUGUUAAUAUAGAGAACACAAAAUUUUCAUCUAUAUCUGUUGACCUUGUGUGCCAUAGGUAAACAUAUUUUCCUAUCUAUUUCUAUUCUUCAGCCUCUUUAUAUUUCAGGGUGGUGGUGAGAGCGGGUGUGAACCGGGAAAGGCGGCCAUAGGAGAUAUAUGAUAGGAAAAGAAUUGCUCUAUGGCGCAAAGGGCGAGAGGGAGCCAACUAUGAUAGGAAAAGAGGAUGCAUGUAGGUAAUCGCAGGGUGGAUGCUUAAUGUUGCUUAUUCAGCAGGGGCUAUCAACCUGUGAUUAUCUACAUGGUAUAUCUAGCCCAUCAAGGUCCUGCACAUGGUAUAUAUAGCCCAUCAAGGUCCUCCAUGGCCAUCGACUUGCUUUCUGCUCGGGCAGGAUUAGAUGCAACCUCCUGUUUGUGAUGCAGUGCCCCAAAAGGCUCGGAUGCAGGUGCAAGUCAACAAUGCCAGUAGUGAGUCGAGAGAAGUGGAGAAGAGGGUCCCUCCAGGCUCCAUACAUGAAUGGUGUAUGUCGAAUGUCUUGGGUAAACUUUUGCUUUUCCUUCAUUUCUUUAUCUUCGAGUCAACAAUGCGAGUAGUGAGUCGAGAGAAGUGGAGAAGAGGGUCCCUCCAGGCUCCAUACAUGAAUGGUGUAUGUCGAAUGUCUCGGAUAACUACUUCAGGUUAGGCGGGAGAAAUAAAAAGGGUAACCAUAGAUAUAUGGUCUAGCAUCACGAGGUUCAGGUUCCUGUUAUUGAUCAACCAUUGCUUUGCUCGACGUGGGUUAUGCUUGAUUAUGUUCUUCUUUGUAUUUUUGUUCAUGGCCUACACCGGUGUUAUCAUCUAUUUUGUUUCAAAAUUUUCAAUGGCUUAUUUUCAUGUCCCAAUACCACUUGAAAUACAACUAAGUACCUUCUGACAGGACAAUAAUGUAUGUAUUUACCUAUGGUUAUUGUUUCCUAAAAGAAACUUGAUCAUCUCACCUUGGUUUCCCCUGUAUCUGACUUGGGACAGGUUUAUGUGAGAUUUGUUUUCCAUUUUCUGUUUGUGUGGAUGCUUAAGCUUAAGCUUUUGUUAUUUGUUAGAGAUUAAAGAAGACUGAAAUAUGGGCUCAAGCGAUUGCUAUGUCUGACCUACACAAGAAUGCCAAGAAGUCCUCGGAGACGUAAGCCACGGCGCAUGUUUCUGCCAUGAUUUCCUUCGGUUGGAUUUUGUGGAUUUAGGUUUUGAAAAAUUAUGGGCUGUGGAUGCAGAAUGAAGGACAUGUACCUGCACUACAACGAGAGAUCUGGGCUGCUUCUUUGUGGCUUUCAAACUUGAAGUGUUUGUUUGGAAGUUAGUUUAGUUUUUUGUUUUGGAUUCACAGCUUCUCACAUGUACCAUCCUCUUAGACCUUUAGAUUUCCAAAGAAACUAAAUGAAGAUAUGGUGGUAUGGUCUCAAUAGUACAACUUAAAUCGUUCCAUGCUUUAUAUUUGCUAUCAAAUUUGCUCUUCAAGAAUCAUGUAUCUACGUUAGAUCCGGUGAGCUUUAUAUUUGCUCUGAAAUUUGUUCUUGAAGAAUCAUGUAUCUGUAUUAGAUCCGGUGAGAAAAUGCAUCUUACAAGCAGAGGAUGCGGGAGUGUUGGCCA